ensembl:lncRNA
GGGUUAGUAAUGAGACUAUAUACAGGGGGUACCGGUACCGAGUCAAUGUGUGGGGGUACAGGUUAGUAAUGAGACUAUAUACAGGGGGUACCGGUACCGAGUCAAUGUGUGGGGGUACAGGUUAGUAAUGAGACUAUAUACAGGGGGUACCGGUACCGAGUCAAUGUGCGGGGGUACAGGUUAGUAAUGAGACUAUAUACAGGGGGUACCGGUACCGAGUCAAUGUGUGGGGGUACAGGUUAGUAAUGAGACUAUAUACAGGGGGUACCGGUACCGAGUCAAUGUGUGGGGGUACAGGUUAGUAAUGAGACUAUAUACAGGGGGUACCGGUACCGAGUCAAUGUGCGGGGGUACAGGUUAGUAAUGAGACUAUAUACAGGGGGUACCGGUACCGAGUCAAUGUGCGGG